UACGUAGGGGGCAAGCGUUGUCCGGAAUCAUUGGGCGUAAAGAGCGUGUAGGCGGCCCGAUAAGUCCGCUGUGAAAGUCCAGGGCUCAACCCCUGGAAUGCCGGUGGAUACUGCCGGGCUAGAGUCCGGGAGAGCGAGUGGAAUUCCUGGUGUAGCGGUGGAAUGCGCAGAUAUCAGGAGGAACACCUAAGGCGAAGGCAGCUCGCUGGAACGGUACUGACGCUGAGGCGCGAAAGCGUGGGGGAGCAAACAGG
rnacentral:rRNA from 1 species